ensembl:lncRNA
AUUUAAGUUUAUUUUCUAUAAAUCACGAUAUGUGGGUGGAAAAUUGCGAACGCUAUUUCUAUGCCUAUUUUAUGGAUAUGCAACGUCUAUAAAUGAGACCCCUGAUCUGUGGACAGAUGGAAUUAGCCAUUACAAUCAAGUUUUUUUUUUUUUUUUUUUUUUUUUUGUAAUGUAUUGGAGCUAACGGUUAUAGUUUCCAGCCAAUGUGUAAAAGCAAGUCGUAGAACACGGGUUUAACAAAAACAGCAUGAUAAUUACUUUAUAAUUUCAACAUAUGUACAUAUGUUUUUAUUACAAAUAUAUUUCACAUUAAACAAAAAUAAUUUUCAGUUGAAUAAAUAAAAGAAAGUCAUCAGACACCAUCCGAUAUGUCAGAAAAAUCCCAGAACUACAUUCCACAAAUCAGAACUACAUAUCCCAUCAAGCGUUGCGACCCCGCUAUCUCAUUCAACCAAUCAACGAUGAGCCCGUUGACCAAUCAGCGUUACGUUUCGCUGUAUAAAAGCACGCGUCACAUUCUCCUCUUCCUCCUUCAACCCGCUUUCUCAGAGAAUGGAGGUGUUUGUCGGAAUGAAUAUCGUAUCGCCACGUGGUUCCACCUCAGUCACCACUGCAGAGGUCAGAUGAUGCAAAAUGAGUUGAUUUUUAUAGAAAAGCUGUCCCAUCAUCAAAAUACUGCUUGAGAUGGUCGAAGUGCGCCUUCUGUAAGAGGUGCUGCAGUGCGCUCCGUGAGAAGACGUCUGUCCUGUGGGUCCGUGCAAGGUCAGCAUCUGAAGUGUUUCUGCACGUUUCCUGAGAAUCUGCGCUGUCAGCGUGCUCCAGGUUCUCCAACAGAGCGGUCCGGCUGCAGGUGUCUGCAUCGGUCACUCGACUGUCCGACACUCUGCACUGGCCGCUGAAGUCGUGCUGCAUGGAGAGUUGUGUGCUCUGUUACAGGUGCUGAUGGCCUGUAGGACUGCUGGAGCUCGUGCAGCUCCUGACCAGUGAGUGGAAGUUGUAACAGGAGUGGUGCAAGUCAAACCUAAUAAAGUGUGGAUCGGGUCUUGCUUAUCUGAUGCUGUUUGUUGGAUCAACUCUGUAAAAUAAAGACACAUGUUA